GCAUAGGUGGUUCAGAGGCAGAAUUCUUACCUACUGUGCAGAACACCUGGGUUCAAUUCCUGGCCAAGGCA
rnacentral:tRNA from 1 species